GACGAACGCUGGCAGCGUGCUUAACACAUGCAAGUCGAACGGAAAGGCCCUGCUUUUGUGGGGUGCUCGAGUGGCGAACGGGUGAGUAACACGUGAGUAACCUGCCCUUGACUUUGGGAUAACUUCAGGAAACUGGGGCUAAUACCGGAUAGGAGCUCCUGCUGCAUGGUGGGGGUUGGAAAGUUUCGGCGGUUGGGGAUGGACUCGCGGCUUAUCAGCUUGUUGGUGGGGUAGUGGCUUACCAAGGCUUUGACGGGUAGCCGGCCUGAGAGGGUGACCGGCCACAUUGGGACUGAGAUACGGCCCAGACUCCUACGGGAGGCAGCAGUGGGGAAUAUUGCACAAUGGGCGGAAGCCUGAUGCAGCAACGCCGCGUGCGGGAUGACGGCCUUCGGGCUGUAAACCGCUUUCGCCUGUGACGAAGCGUGAGUGACGGUAAUGGGUAAAGAAGCACCGGCUAACUACGUG
rnacentral:rRNA from 1 species